UUAUACCGUGAAACUGCGAAUGGCUCAUUAAAUCAGUUAUCGUUUAUUUGAUAGUACCUUACUACUUGGAUACCUGUGGUAAUUCUAGAGCUAAUACAUGCUAAAAACCCCGACUUCGGAAGGGGUGUAUUUAUUAGAUAAAAAACCAAUGCCCUUCGGGGCUCCUUGGUGAUUCAUAAUAACUUCUCAGAUCGCAUGGCCUUGCGCCGGCGACGGUUCAUUCAAAUUUCUGCCCUAUCAACUUUCGAUGGUAAGGUAUUGGCUUACCAUGGUGGCAACGGGUAACGGGGAAUUAGGGUUCGAUUCCGGAGAGUUAGCCUGAGAAACGGCUAACACAUCCAAGGAAGGCAGCAGGCGCGCAAAUUACCCAAUCCCGAUACGGGGAGGUAGUGACAAUAAAUACUGAUACAGGGCUCUUUUGGGUCUUGUAAUUGGAAUGAGUACAAUUUAAACCUCUUAACGAGGAACAAUUGGAGGGCAAGUCUGGUGCCAGCAGCCGCGGUAAUUCCAGCUCCAAUAGCGUAUAUUAAAGUUGUUGCAGUUAAAAAGCUCGUAGUUGAACCUUUGGCCUGGCUGGCAGGUCCGCCUCACCGCGUGCACUUGUCCGGCCGGGCCUUUUCUUCUGGAGAACCGCAUGCCCUUCACUGGGUGUGUUGGGGACCAGGACUUUUACUUUGAAAAAAUUAGAGUGUUCAAAGCAGGCCUUUGCUCGAAUAUUACAGCAUGGAAUAAUAGAAUAGGACGUGCGGUUCUAUUUUGUUGGUUUCUAGGACCGCCGUAAUGAUUAAUAGGGACAGUCGGGGGCAUCAGUAUUCAAUUGUCAGAGGUGAAAUUCUUGGAUUUAUUGAAGACUAACUACUGCGAAAGCAUUUGCCAAGGAUGUUUUCAUUAAUCAGUGAACGAAAGUUAGGGGAUCGAAGACGAUCAGAUACCGUCGUAGUCUUAACCAUAAACUAUGCCGACUAGGGAUCGGGCGGUGUUAUUAUUUUGACUCGCUCGGCACCUUACGAGAAAUCAAAGUGUU
rnacentral:rRNA from 1 species